rnacentral:rRNA from 1 species
UAGGGAAUCUUCGGCAAUGGACGAAAGUCUGACCGAGCAACGCCGCGUGAGUGAAGAAGGUUUUCGGAUCGUAAAACUCUGUUGUUAGAGAAGAACAAGGACGUUAGUAACUGAACGUCCCCUGACGGUAUCUAACCAGAAAGCCACGGCUAACUACGUGCCAGCAGCCGCGGUAAUACGUAGGUGGCAAGCGUUGUCCGGAUUUAUUGGGCGUAAAGCGGGCGCAGGCGGUUUCUUAAGUCUGAUGUGAAAGCCCCCGGCUCAACGGGGGGGGGUCAUUGGAAACUGGGAGACUUGAGUGCAGAAGAGGGGAGUGGAAUUCCAUGUGUAGCGGUGAAAUGCGUAGAUAUAUGGAGGAACACAAGUGGCGAAGGCGGCUCUCUGGUCUGUAACUGACGCUGAGGCUCGAAAGCGUGGGGAGCAAACAGG